rnacentral:rRNA from 1 species
AUGCAAGUCGAGCGGCAGCACGGGUACUUGUACCUGGUGGCGAGCGGCGGACGGGUGAGUAAUGCCUAGGAAUCUGCCUGGUAGUGGGGGAUAACGCUCGGAAACGGACGCUAAUACCGCAUACGUCCUACGGGAGAAAGCAGGGGACCUUCGGGCCUUGCGCUAUCAGAUGAGCCUAGGUCGGAUUAGCUAGUUGGUGAGGUAAUGGCUCACCAAGGCGACGAUCCGUAACUGGUCUGAGAGGAUGAUCAGUCACACUGGAACUGAGACACGGUCCAGACUCCUACGGGAGGCAGCAGUGGGGAAUAUUGGACAAUGGGCGAAAGCCUGAUCCAGCCAUGCCGCGUGUGUGAAGAAGGUCUUCGGAUUGUAAA